CACCUGUUAUAAUGCCUUGGUCCCGUGGGUGCAACAGUGUACAGAGUCCAGUCCUCACCGGCCAUGUCUCUCUCUGGGCAGCAGUUGGGUGUCUCAGACUGGAGGAGACUGUCAGCUGGAUUCCGCCCUCAGCCAGAUCUCUUACACUCAGGGAAGAUUCCAGGUGUCCUGGGGAGUAGUGACUCAGACACUGGACUUCCUGAUUCUUUAGACACAAACCCAACACUAUUCUGAACUAAAGUUGAUUGGAACACAGCAGUUUCACCCUGAACUUUACCAAGAGGCUACUUUCAACAGGACAGAUCCAAAUUUCACCGUGAAAAAAAAAUCCCACUUAAAGAGUUGUGGACGCAACGCUAUCACACUCUUUCGAGUGACGUGCAAUCUUGGAGACGAUCCUCAGCGGGCAAGACUCCUCAAUGACCCAAGCAAACCCAGUACAGUGCCCUGUGGCUCAAGUUCACGCAGUGUAGCCACGCAGUGUAGCCGGAUGACCUGCUCCCGGGAUGAGGUCAGUAUGUGCGCAGACUCCUGCCAGGCGGAAUGGAGCCCACGCUCCCCACCACAACAGCCUGUGUCUAGCCAGACUUGCGCGCCGCCGCACCAAGGUUGUGUCCGCCGCAGAGGCGGUGCGCAGUCAACCCCGGGUCCCGCGCGCGGCUCUCCAGCUCGCACCCCGCGGCGCGCUCCCCACGCAGCCGCGCAUCUGCUCUUUCCGCUCGCACAUUCCACGCAACUGCGCCCCGAUCGCGCCCCAGCAGGUCCCUUCGGCCGCUCGCGCCCAACUUGCUCCUUACCAGCUGCUCCCGUAGCGCGGUCAGCGCCGCCUCCAGACGCAGCUCCUGGCCGCGGGGCCCUGGCGCAGGGUGCAGGCCCAGAGCUCCCCGCACGCGUGCUUGCUGCGUGGCUCGCAGCCCCUGAAGCUCCUGCAGCCCGGCCAGUGCGGCUCGUAGUCGCGCGCCCACCCUGCGGCGGUCCCAACCCGCGGGCCCCUGGCCGCUCGGUGCCCACAUCUCCCGGACGCUCAACCGCCGCGCCGCGCGUCCCCGUCGCGUCUCCCCGCCCCCGGCUGCAGGUCGCUUAGCAAUUGAAUACAAGUGCAUAAAUGGAAUUAUUUUCCCAUUGUCUCCAUGUUCCCAUCGAGCGUAUGUAAAUGGGCCUUUUACCUCUGACAGCCUUUCAUGGACGCCUCCAGCUUGGCAGCUGUGGAAUCAGCUUUACCUGCCUACCUCUCAGUGUCUCUGCUGCCGGGAUUGAUUUUUGAGACCAAAAGGCAACAUAAAGGGCCCUCGGCUGACCUAAAUAUAUUAAAGCCCUCUGCACAUAGCUUUAUUUACACCCCCACUGAAGAUCUAGGCUCUGGAGAGCCUUAGCCACAAAGUGAAACCAAUCAGGUCUCAGGGACGUGACUGGCACAGGUCCCAGGAAGCCAUGGAAGGACCCUUUGUCCCUGGGCAGAAACAGAUGGUGACUGGAUAUCGGUUCUCCUGUGGGACAUCACCAGGGUCCCACAGGUGAAAUUCACUGGGUACCAAUGCCUCAGGCAAGCUGCUUUUUCUUUUCAAACGUCUGCCUGCCUGAAGUCUCCAGAUACACGUUCACUGUGGAUGAAGACGGGUCAGGAAGGCCCAUGCACUGGGUUUUAUUCCCCCUGUAGAUGUCAUCUUUCUGACACAGGUUCUGAGCAGGAGUACUGUCCUCUCAGAAGACCAUAUCUCUGCUGUGUACAUCUUCCCUGGACUUGUAAGGAUCCGAGAAAUGGAGAAGGGCAGUAGGCUGCCUUUGUGUGUUGGCGGCUUCUGAAGCCGUCUCUCAACAGAUGUCUGUUGAAUGGAACGUGCUUGAGCUGGAGUUUCAGCUGCUAGGACAUCACAUGGAGUUUUCAGAAGAAACUAUGUGUGUGAGUUCUCUCUCUCUCUCUCUCUCUCUCUCUCUCUCUCUCUCUCUCUCUCUCUCUCUCUCUCUCUGUGGUGUGCCAGACAUGGAACACUGGGCCUUGUGCAUACUGGGCAAGCACAUCCUGCUGAGAGUCACUACUUCCCCAGGCCUCGAGGCCAAGGUGUUUGUUUGUUUGUUUGUUUGUUUUUGUUUUUUUCCAGAUGACACCUAGUAAUUGUAUAUAUUGAGGGGUACUGCAUGCUGUGUGCCAUGUGAACCUUCUAAGCCCCCCACCAGCUAUCGGAAACAUAUACUGCAUGGUCACGCA